rnacentral:tRNA from 1 species
GCCACCCUAGCUCAGUUGGUAGAGCAACGGACUGAAAAUCCGUGUGUCCCCAGUUCGAUUCUGGGGGGUGGCA